CCGGAGCACUUUCAGCUGGAAGGUGCCGUGUGCUGAAGGAGCUCUUUAGUGACAGGAAGUGACUGGGUGCGAGAAGGUUUAUAGGGCUCCACUUCGGGCGACAAGGAAGUACGAGACUGACUGUAAAUGAUUUGGGGACUGUCCCCACAGAUUCUUCUCGGUGAGUAAACUAUGGAAGGGCACAUUGAGACGCAGCGGAAGGAAGGCAUUCUCUCUCUUACCUUUGCAGAACAGGAACUUCUGCGACUCGGCCCGGCCUCCGUGGUGACCCGCUUUGCACCAGAAGCAUUUCUCUCAAUCAGAGCCCGGAUCUGGCUGUCCAGCUCCAGGCUUUCACACCUGCCCAGGGGGACACAGGAAAGUCACAUUUUACAAAGGCCUUUCUGUUUAAAGAAAACAACCUGUUGGUGGCUCCAGCUGCAAUGUAGGCGGCUUGUAAAGGCGAUGUUAGGAGAAGCUUGAGAGAGAAGAGAUGAGGGUCGGGAAUCCACCCUUGCCCCUCCUUUCUGGAACUCCCCGGUUUUUAAAGUGGUGCAUUCUUGGCUGGAUCCCUGUGUAUUUCCUCUUUGCUUUGUUGAUGUGCUGGGUCGCUGUACUGAUGCUGCACACCUGAGCCCAACUUCCUGCAUCUGUGCCCAGGUGGACGGUGCCGGCAGAGCAGCCAACUCGAAGCAGAGAUGAAGUGCAGCUGCGGGUGCUGGUGUGAGCCCCAGUGAGAGCUGGAACUGACGGUGUGUGACCAACUGCAGCAGCCAGGGAACAAUGGCUCCGAGGAGAGAGAGUCACAACGUCCAGCGAUUCCUGGAACUCCAGCCCAGCCGGCCAUCCGAGUCCUCCGUCCGCUCACCGAGCUGUGCUGGAAACUAACCUGUCACGGUGGAACUGA